UACGUAGGGUGCAAGCGUUGUCCGGAUUUAUUGGGCGUAAAGAGCUCGUAGGCGGUUUGUCGCGUCGGAUGUGAAAACUCAGGGCUCAACCCCGGGCCUGCAUUCGAUACGGGCAGACUAGAGUAUGGCAGGGGAGACUGGAAUUCCUGGUGUAGCGGUGAAAUGCGCAGAUAUCAGGAGGAACACCGGUGGCGAAGGCGGGUCUCUGGGCCAAAACUGACGCUGAGGAGCGAAAGCGUGGGGAGCGAACAGG
rnacentral:rRNA from 1 species